UUACAGAUUUUCAAAAACUACGUACGAUCUAGCAGAUUGACGAUUUUAUUAUCUCCCUUUGCUAACUCUUUAGUGUUAAAGAUACGAUUGUUUGGGGAAACAUGACAAUAUGUCAUACGAGUUGGCGGUUUGAAGACAGACGAUGCCGUUUUGUAGCAUUUCUUUAUGGACAAAUACUCCAUGUGAAGAGGUUUCAAAGACAGUUUAUGUGAAUGACUAUAAGAAAUCGGUAGCUAGAUAUUUAUGCUCCUUAAACAAAUCACAUUGCGGGAAAUCUAUGACGCAAGGCCCGCCUGCGCCUGUGUCUAUUUUCACAAUCACACGUUGGAAUUUUUCGGUUGUUUCAUAUCAUCAGAGUUCUUUGGAGUGGAUGAGAAAUACUACAUGUGUUCUCCCAGAUCACUCGGUCAGUUGUAUUGGAUAUACGAACCGGAUAUGGGCAUAUAUCAUUAACAUUCGGGAUGAGCAACAUGCUUGUGGAAAAAUGCUUAACUGGCUAUGGCCAGUAUGGGUGGCGGUGCAGUAUACAAGGAAUCUGUUCACUGAAAUUCCAAGAAGAUUCCAUGAUUUGCUUGCCAUACAACAAACAACAGAUUAUGGACAUGAUUCCUAGAAUUAGAACUUGAAUGGGUCAGACUUGAAUACAUGCAUUUUAGUCAUGUAGCAAUAUUAAAGGUGUUGUACUUCAGGAAAAGGGGAAGCGUAUUUGUUGGAAGAUGGAUAAAGAAAAAUUGGAGCAUGCACUAGACUUCUUUAAAUCCUGCUUUUUUAUCAGGUAACAUCAUUGAGUACAAAAGAAAUGCACCUUCACAGUAGACAACUUAUAACCUUUCGACAAGAAAUUGGGACUGCCUGCCAUUCAACCAUUGUACAUAUAUGAAUUUACCAGUCCUGUUGUGAAGAAACUUAUUUCAUCCUCUUUCAAAGGCCAUGCUAUUUAGGAUUUUAACUACUUGUCCUGCAUCACAAGCUUAAAAAGACUUCACAAUCUGGCUGCAGAUGGAACUGCAUGGUUUGAAAUCCUCAUAGGAAUUCUGAGAAGCAUGGAGGCCUAUAAACCAGAUAAUGACAAUAUUUCAUAGUUCGAGAAGUACCAGAAAAAUUUACUUGCAGCAAAAUUGUACAUAAAGAGAAACUCACUCAAGCAUGAAUGUAGAAUAAUUACAAAGAUGCAGAAUAUAUAUAUAUAUAUAUAUAUAUAGAGAGAGAGAGAGAGAGAGAGAGAGAGAGAGAAUUAUAUGGUGAUAUAAUUAAAUUCAUUGAAGACAAUGGGUAUGGCAUAUCAGUAGAGAAUCAUGAUUCAUACGGUGAUAUUUUUCAAUUGUAUACUCGUUUCAGUGCAAUGGCAUUGUACAAAUAAAUAUUUUAAGUGUUGUAAGGGAAAGUGGUUGCUAUGGUGAUAUGUGUAAACAUAUUGUCUUUCAUGGGUCCGACAUGUCAGUAAAUAAUUACAUGUUGAUAUAUUUGUAUUAUAUUCUCAUUUGAAGGCAAUUGGAAUUGUACAGUUUGAAAUUUUUGCUUGUUGCUAGGGAAAAUUGGUUGCUAUGGUGAUAUAGUUAAAUCUGAUGUCCUCAUUGGAUUCAACAUAUCAGUAGAAAAUCACAUAUUGGUAUAUUUGCAUUAGGUUCUCAUUCCAGUGCAAUUUAAUCAUACAACUUUAAAUUUUAUGUGCGUUGCUAAGGAAAAUCAGUUGCUAUGGUGAUAUGGUUUAAGUCUGAUUUCUCCAAUUGGUCUGAAAUGUCAAUAAACUAAAGUGAACCCUGAUGAUUUGUAUUUAUUUUCAGUUAAUAUAAUCAUUUUAAUGCAUAUAUUGCAGAUAUUCUUGUUUUAUUGUGUUGGAAAUGGGUCUGAAAGAGUUGCCUAGCAACCGUUACUAUGUGCAUUUCCGACUCUUUUUGAUUUUUAUAUUGAGUACACUUAGUAUUGAUUGUUUAGAAAAUAUGUAUCAAAAUUUGGCACUUUUCGGAUAACUAAAGUAAUAUGUAUUUAAAAUACCUUAAAAUUGUCGAAUUUACAGAAAAUUGAUAAAUAUUAAAACAAUGCCUAUUCCAAAGUCCUCUACAGAUACCAUAUAAUAGUAUUUCAUUAGUAUUGUACAUUUUUAUAUUGAAGUAACCUUUACCUUGCAUAAAUAAAUUAUCAUUAUGUUUGAAAAAUUAUUAUUUUCAUUUUUAUACAAAUUUUAAGAAGUAUGUAUUUCUGCAGUUUACAAAACCCAAUACAGUGGUUGCUAUGGAAACACAAAUGCUUUAAUUUCCAUAGCAACCAUUGAUGCACAAUGUUUUUACUCUGCACGUCUUCAUAUAUCAUUAUUAUGAAGAGUUAUGGAAAGUUUCAUGAAAAUCCAAGAUUAUCAGUGUGCCACCUUCUGCAUGAUUCUUACGUGGACUAUUCUAAAAAAAAAAAAAAACAUUUCUUAACCAUAAUUUGACAUUAGUCAAAUUAAUUUAAGUAUCUGAUAGACAUUGGAAGAAAUAUGAUAUUAACAGUACACAGUUUGUUCAUCUUGUUUUAAUUAAUUUUAUUUGUGUAAAGUCUCUAAUUUAGCAUUUCUGUUAAAUUGAAGUUUUAGUAAUUUCCAGUUAUACAUGUGCAAAUCAUACCAUUUUAUUUAUCAUCAAAUUCUAUGUAUUGGUUUCAUACAUGUAUCAUAUAUAUCUGUGGAUUCAAUUAGUACAGUACUUUUGUAGAUUGUUUGUAGUACUGAAAUGAAAGAGCUACAGAAUUAUUGGCUCUAGUUACUUUCGGAGAGGAACCUUGUUCCACAAACUGGUGAUUGAAUCACAUUAUGUUUUUAUCAUAAUAUGUAAUGCAACAGCUUUACAAGGAUAUUCAUAUGACUAUUUGUGUUUUUAUAAUGUCUGUACCUGUGUGCAAUUCAUGAUGAGUAAUAGGUUACAGACUACUAAUUUGACCCCUAUUUCAUUGACCACGCAAGUAGUGCCUGUUUAUAAAUAGAGGUUUUUUCUUAAAAAUUCUUGGGGAUGUAUGUGGGGUGGAUUUGUGUUAUUAUAGGGCAUAUAUGGAAAGAAGAGGGUCUGAAAAAAAUUAAAAACUUCUAAUAAUGGGAAAUUCUGCUCUUAAGUGUGUAGUAGGAAGGGUGUAAAUAGGCCAUUGUUUACCUGCUUCUCAAAGGGAAAGGGAAAUAUGCAGGGUAGGGGUUACUUGCGGUGUCAUAACAGGACUUGUGUGCGGUGGAUUUUCCUGAGAUUCACAAAUAUUUUUGGACUUGAAUUGCUCGAAGUCUGUACCAAGUUUCAGGUAAGUUGAGGCGGUGGAAUUUUUUUUAUUAAUUUUUAUGUUAUAAAGGAAUGUAUAGCAAAAUAAUUGGUAGUCUGUGUCCAAUAUUCAUUUAAUGACAGGAGAUUAUCAAUAUGAAGGGGAAUAACGUGUAUUUUCAGAAUACUUAGAUGUUUCAUGAUAAGAGUUAUCCUUCUUGUGCAUUAUUAAGUAUCAGAAUUUAUAUUUAUGUAUUUAAACCUGCAUUGAAGACAUUCUAGAUUCCCUAGCAAGCAAUGCAUAUUUCUCAGUUUUAGACUUGAAGAGUGGUUAUCACCAGGUAGAAUUUAGGGAAAAUCAUAAGCAAAGAACUGCAUUCACAGUUGGGCCACUUGGAUUUUCUGGAAGAUAAUAGAAUACCUUUUGGACUUGCGAAUGCUCUGGCAUCAUACCAAACGUUAAUGGAAAAUUGUCUAGACGACUUAACAUCUGAAUAUCUGCUUCAUUUAUAUUUUAAGUCUCAUCAUGUUUUCGAAAACAUUUGAAAACCACAUUAAAGGGCUUUCAUAAAGUAUUUAACUGUGUUAGUAACAACAGUUUAAAACUGUCUCCAAAGAAAUGUGCAUUCUUCAUGAACAAAUUAAAAUAUUUGUGUACUCAUGUCGUCAAAAUAUGACUAAUCAAGGUCCUGCAGAUCUUUGAAGAUUUUUUCCCUACAUAUCUUCAUUUAAACUCUGAAUUUCCACUCUUGAAAGAAGCUUUCCUAUAAGUUUUGUUUUUGCUGGUCCAAUGGUUCUUAAGAUUUUUUAAUUACCCCC